GAGCCGGGCUGCGCGCGGAGGUAGGGGAUGCAGGCUGGGGGUGAGCAGCAGCGACGGUGCCAUCGGCUGUCGCAUCGGCGUCCUCAGCCCCGCCCCGCGCCUAAGCGGCGCUCGCUGGGAGGGCCUGGCCAUCUUCGCGCGGUGGCCGGGCGCUCCCGGGGUCCCCUGCCUGUGCCCCGUUCCCCCAUCCAGAACCUGGGCUGGAGGUGCUAGGGAGCUCUGGGAGCCUGGGCUGCACGCAGGGAAGUGCUCUCGGCCGCCGGGGUCACAAGACUCCAGGGCUUCACAGUGCCCAAGGCUUGGUGGACAUCGAGCCCACCGGGGAAUCUUUGCCAUCAGCGCCGUGUUUUGAUGCCCGCGGCAAGGAACACCACGAAAUAGGUUUCCUGACACUCAGGUGAGGUGCCAGGUCCUGGGUUACCAAGGUCAGGUCAGGUGGUCUGUACUUGCCACCCCUGGGUCGGCUCUCUACCCUGCUUGACUACAUCACAGGAAAAGGCUGGAAAUGGAUCCGGGGCUUGUUGACCUGUAGCUCAUGGAGGCUGAAGAAUUUCCUCCUUGAAGGCAGACCUGAUUUUCCUCCUCACGGAAGAGUUUAGGCCAGUCAUAGGGUGUUUUUCUUCUAUUUAUUUUAUGUUAUGUUAUGUUAUGUUAUGUUAUGUUAUGUUAUGUUAUGUUAUGUUAUGUUAUGCUAUUUUAUUUUAUUUUAGAGACAGAGUCUCACUCUGUUGCCCAGGCUGGAGUGCAGUGGGGCCAUCUCAGCUCACUGCAACCUCUGCCUCCCGGGUUCAAAUGAUUCUCCUGCCUCAGCCUCCUGAGUAGGUGGGAUUACAGGCGUGCACCACCAUGUCUGUCUAAUUUUUGUAUUUUUGGUAGAGAUGGGGUUUCGCCGUGUUGGCAAGGCUGAUCUAGAACUCCUGAGCUCAAGUGAUCCGCC
rnacentral:lncRNA from 1 species